UACGUAGGGACCAAGCGUUGUUCGGAUUUACUGGGCGUAAGGGCGCGUAGGCGGCUUAACAAGUCACUUGUGAAAUCUCCGGGCUUAACUCGGAACGGCCAAGUGAAACUGUCAAGCUAGAGUGCAGAAGGGGCAAUCGGAAGUUCUUGGUGUAGCGGUGAAAUGCGUAGAUAUCAAGAGGAACACCUGAGGUGAAGACGGGUUGCUGGGCUGACACUGACGUGAGGCGCGAAAGCCAGGGGAGCAAACGGG
rnacentral:rRNA from 1 species